GGCGUAGCUCAGUGGCAAAGCAUCUGCUUAACAUGCAGAACAUCCCAGGUUCAAUCCCUGCAUCUCCA